UACGUAGGUGGCAAGCGUUGUCCGGAAUUAUUGGGCGUAAAGCGCGCGCAGGCGGUCCUUUAAGUCUGAUGUGAAAGCCCACGGCUCAACCGUGGAGGGUCAUUGGAAACUGGGGGACUUGAGUACAGAAGAGAAGAGUGGAAUUCCACGUGUAGCGGUGAAAUGCGUAGAGAUGUGGAGGAACACCAGUGGCGAAGGCGACUCUUUGAUCUGUAACUGACGCUGAGGCGCGAAAGCGUGGGGAGCAAACAGG
rnacentral:rRNA from 1 species